rnacentral:rRNA from 1 species
UACGUAGGGGGCUAGCGUUGUCCGGAAUCAUUGGGCGUAAAGAGCGUGUAGGCGGUCCGGUAAGUCCGCUGUGAAAGUCGGGGGCUCAACCCUCGAAUGCCGGUGGAUACUGUCGGGCUAGAGUGCGGAAGAGGCGAGUGGAAUUCCUGGUGUAGCGGUGAAAUGCGCAGAUAUCAGGAGGAACACCUAUUGCGAAGGCAGCUCGCUGGGACGUAACUGACGCUGAGACGCGAAAAGCGUGGGGAGCGAACAGG